GAUGAACGCUGGCGGCGUGCCUAAUACAUGCAAGUCGAGCGAAUGGAUUAAGAGCUUGCUCUUAUGAAGUUAGCGGCGGACGGGUGAGUAACACGUGGGUAACCUGCCCAUAAGACUGGGAUAACUCCGGGAAACCGGGGCUAAUGCCGGAUAACAUUUUGAACCGCAUGGUUCGAAAUUGAAAGGCGGCUUCGGCUGUCACUUAUGGAUGGACCCGCGUCGCAUUAGCUAGUUGGUGAGGUAACGGCUCACCAAGGCAACGAUGCGUAGCCGACGUGAGCGGGGGAUCGGCCACACUGGGACUGAGACACGGCCCAGACUCCUACGGGAGGCAGCAGUAGGGAAUCUUCCGAAAUGGACGAAAGUCUGACGGAGCAACGCCGCGUGAGUGAUGAAGGCUUUCGGGUCGUAAAACUCUGUUGUUAGGGAAGAACAAGUGCUAGUUGAAUAAGCUGGCACCUUGACGGUACCUAACCAGAAAGCCACGGCUAACUACGUGCCAGCCGCCGCGGUAA
rnacentral:rRNA from 1 species